UACAUAUUAUCUCCGCCCCCAAUUAUUUGUCUUAGAUUUGUCUACAUACAGGUGUAUCUAAAAAAUGUGUCUAGAUACAUCCGUAUCAAGACCAAUCUAAGACAAGUAAUUUGGGACGGAGGGAGUAAUAU
rfam:Triticum aestivum genome assembly, contig: Triticum_aestivum_CS42_TGACv1_scaffold_405106_5BL